rfam:Photobacterium damselae subsp. damselae CIP 102761 Contig58, whole genome shotgun sequence.
AUCUUAACGGGAGAUGAUGUUCCUCCUUUAACCGCCUUUCUGAUCUUUUUCUCUAAGGAUGAUGACGUCUAACAACAG